rnacentral:rRNA from 1 species
UACGUAGGGAGCGAGCGUUGUCCGGAAUCAUUGGGCGUAAAGAGCAUGUAGGUGGAUCAAUUAGUCUGCUGUGAAAGUCAAAAGGCUCAACCUUUGAAAGCCGGUGGAUACUGUUGAUCUAGAGUACGGAAGAGGCGAGUGGAAUUCCUGGUGUAGCGGUGGAAUGCGCAGAUAUCAGGAGGAACACCGGUGGCGAAGGGCGGGUCUCUGGGCCGAUACUGACGCUGAGGAGCGAAAGCGUGGGGAGCGAACAGG